ensembl:lncRNA novel transcript (contains ZIM2-AS1 and PEG3-AS1)
ACAGAGAGAACAGGCAGUGGAGAAGGAGCUGUUUCUCCCCAACCACAUGCAUCUGCAAGAGUGAGGAGUGGAACAGGCAGAGCCAGAGAACAGCAGAGUUGAGGUUUUCCAAGGAGGUACAUGCAGCAGAAUAUGCAAGAGAUUCGAGUGUGUCCAGAGGAAUUUAUCCUAACAAUUGACCAUGGAAGGUGACCAGAUGGGUGUGAAGAUAGUGUCUUGCAAUGUCGCCCAGGCUGGAGUGCAGUGGUGCCCCUCCUGUUGUGAAUGGACAGAGUCCUGAGCAAGGAAACCUAGAAGGGAGAGAGGAAUACCAUGGAAUUGAGUCCUGUCUGGUAGCACUGACAGACACAGUGGCCAGCCACCCUCAUGCCACCCUGUCCUGCCAUGGGAAGGAACAGCAGCUCUAGAGUUCCUAUGGGAACUCUCUUUCCUUCUCACUGAACUCUAGCUUCAUCAAUAACUCAGUGCCUCUGGCCAAGUUUUUAGCCUCUGGGACAACAUCCACUAUAUCCAUAUGAGGCACUCAUGUAACACGGUGAUUAAGAGUACAGAUGCUGAAGCCAGCAGCCUAAGUCUGAAUCCUGACUGCCAAUUAUUAAUAUAAGUUGUGGAACCAUGGUCAAGUUACUCAACCUCUUUAUGCCUCUGUCUCCUGGUCUACGAAAUGAAGCUUUGAAUCUGCUGUUAUUAAGUUGCUGGUGCUGAAAUAACACUUAUUAUUUAUGAUCUAACUGAAAUGGGAACACUGGAAACUUCUUUGAAACUGAAGAAAAAAAUGAAAAAGAAGUUUUUACAAUCAAAACUGCCAUGAAGACUGCUUUACCCAAAAUUUUGGUCCACAGCUUUCAUUGAAUUACUUAUCAGGGCAAACAAAGUUUAGCCAUGUGAACACGUUCCAAUUUUGUUGGAAAUAAUUUGGAUCCAGCUAUCUUUAUACAAUGGUGAGUUCGUAUUGCAUCUCAUGGCUAAAAUACUGAGGUAAAGGCUUUUGGAUCUUUGUGUGUGUGUGUGUGCAUGUGACAAAAACAAGCAAUGGGGAAAGGAGUCCCUAUUUAAUAAAUGGUGUUGGGAGAACUGGCUAGCCAUAUGCAGAAAGUUGAAACUGGAGCCCCUCCUUAUACCAUAUACAAAAAUCAACUCAAGAUGAAUUAAAGACUUAAAUGUAAAAACCCAAACUAUAAAAACCCUAGAAGAAAAUCUAGGCAAUACCAUUCAGGACAUGGGCACAGGCAAAUAUUUCAUGACAAAGAUGCCAAAAGCAGUAGCAACAAAAGCAAAAAUUGACAAAUGGAAUCUAAUUAAACUAAAGAGCUUCUGUACAGCAAAGAAAUUAUCAUCAGAGUGAACAGACAGCUUACAGCAUGGGAGAAAAUUUUUGCAGUAUAUCCAUCUGACAAAGGUCUAAUAUUCAGCAUCUACAAGGAACUUAAACAAAUUUACAAGAAAAAAAAACAACGCCAUUAAAAAAUGGGCAAAGGACGUGGACAGACACUUCUCAAAAGAAGAAAUUUAUGUGGGCAAUGAACAUUUUUUUUAAAAAAGCUCAACACCACUGAUCAUUAGAGAAAUGCACAUGAAAACCACAAUGAGAUACCAUCUCACACCAGUCAGAAUGGCUAUUACUUAAAGGUCAAAAAACAACAGAUGAUAGCAAGGUUGUGAAGAAAAAUGAACACUUUUAUACGUUGGUUGGAGUAUAAAUUAGUUCUACCCUUGUCGAAGACAGUGUGGUGAUUCCUCAAAGACCUAGGGGAAGAAAUAUCAUUUGACCCAGCAAUCUCAUUACUGGGUAUAUACCCAGAGGAAUAUAAAUCAUUCUAUUAUAAAGAUACAUGUGCAUGUUCAUUGCAAAAUAGCAAAAACAUGGAAUCAACCUAAAUGCU